GUCACCACAUAGGGUGGGCUUUUUCGUGACACGUGUCGCCAUACCAACCCAUUUGUGAUUUCUGUGCAAUCUGGUUCUUUAACGCCACUUAUUCGAACUGGACUUUUAUUACAUUUUCAUAUUAAGCCCAAUCCUUUGAACAUCUGUUACAAGCCCACACGAUUAUGUUUGUUCUUCAUUUUUCCUCUCACGCCUGCGACCUUCCUUCUUCCUCUCAGGACGACCUCCCUACGAAAUUUCACAGAGACUUAAAGCGGCGUUCCAUCUUCGUAACGUCUCAACCAUCCAUUAAUCUGUUCUUUACUCUGAGUUUUUCCUUGAUUAUUCCACUCCUCCCGCGUUUCAUUUAUUCCUCAUCACCACCUCUUUCAGCUUCUUCACACUCAUUCACCUAUAAAUAGUCAUUUCCGUCACCAUGAAUCUCAAAAAAACGUUGUGACUCUCCUCUCCACAAACGGCCAAAAAACUAUCCAAACCAUGACGGCUUCCCAACUAUCGCUCUCUGCAUUGAAUCGUUGUAAUGGCGACAAUUGUCACAUGGCUGCUCCCUUUUUGGGAAGCACGGAAUGUGAAGAAAGGCGUUGAAGAAGCUGGGAUGAUGAGUACUGAAUCCUUACUAAACAACUUCUUAAGUGUUUUUCCUUACUUCCCGUUAAAAGCUCAAUUUUUAGGUCUUUUUGUUUGCUGUUAGAAAGAUUGAACCUUGCGUCUAGGGAUUGAUUCUUAUAGGCUGAGAUUUAUGUGUAGAAGACUAAAGGAAUGAUCUUUCAAAAUCAAAGCUUUGAUUCUUCUGCUGAUAAUGCGUUAUCUCAAAUAUUUUCUCUACAUAUAAUGUCUAACAAGAGAAAGUGGUGAAGACAAAUCGUGAUACCACUAUGAACAGUUCAAAAGUGAUCGAUCAGGUUCACUGAUUCGGUAGAGACAACAAGUGAUCAUUCUGGAGAAAGCAAGGCAAGAUUUAGAAACACUGAGGGAAUACAUCUUUUCACGGCUGAUAAAAGAGCUCCAAGUUACUGAUUUGUGGAAGCUGCUGCAAACUUAUUCCCUAGGGUUAUAUGCAUGAGUAUGUUGACAGCAACGGUUUUUAAGUUCUGUGUAUCAAGGACACUCUCUACUCCCGAUGAGAUUAACGCUAUGCUUUUACAGCUUAGUGACUCCUUCUUUAAAGUCGCCGCAGAUCAAUAUGCUCAAUGCGUAUGCCGUUUCGUCAGAUGUACAACUUAAUGUUGUUCUAUAUCAGUGAAAACACUUAAGCUAACAGCUACAACAUUCACGAAGCAACUUCAUGCAAUGGUCAAGAAAAAGUCACCUCCAUCGGCUAGAAACCAAGCUCCAGCUCCGACAGAGUGAUAACAAGCGUUCAAAGCAUCUUCCUUACGAACUCCACUGCUUGGUCGCAAAUAGUCAGUGAACAACCAGUGGCUGGAAAAAACAUCGAAAGGUGGUCAUGGUUAAUGAGGAGUUUUUAAGGCCACAACCCUGCACAGCUACGAGAGCCACUAAAGGUUCACUUUCACUACUUUGUAUCACCAUGCUGACGCACAGUUGAUUGGUUAUAAUCAAACCUUCACCAACUUCAAAUUGUAGUAUUGUAGAGCCUUUGGGAAAGACUGCUCGCGCAGCUCACCAAGAGAUCCAAGCACAUAAAAGAAAUGGUGGUUUCCAACAAGUUUAUUGUGGAUUAUGUCACUGUUUUCAGAUAUCAUUGAACUCAGCGUAACAUCUAUUACGUAAUGCUUCUUUUAGAUUUGUAAAACUGGAAACGCACCCUGACAUUUAAAAUAUUGGUGACUAAAUCUAGGUUCAAAUAAAAAGGUUGAACAGGAUCCCCCCUAGGCUUCCUAUAGGGCACAACCAAAGUACAGUUCAACUACUCUAAACAUCAGACAUAUUUGCACUGCUGGUCAGAAAAUAACAGAUUAUUUUUAAGUAUCCACAUUUAAACAUCAAAAUUCAUAUUCCAGACGCUUGCCACAGCCUCCGUAGAUUGCUGGGGAAUAGAAACUGGAAUCUCUGUUGCAGCAACCAACACAUAUGAUGGUGUAGAAAAUAGAGCUAAUGCGAACAAAUCUAGAGCUCUACAGAUAAACCAAGAAUCUUUGUACAUAGUGAAAGCCACGUGUCUUCAUAUUCUGCCUAUGUCAGCAUUGAGAGUUGAAAUAUUUCUCUGAAACCACAAUUCUUUGUUCAAGAACUAUUAUACAACUUUUAUGUCAAUCUCUCAUGAUCUUAUCUCUGUUUCAAUA